rnacentral:rRNA from 1 species
UACGUAGGGUCCGAGCGUUGUCCGGAAUUGCUGGGCGUAAAGAGCUUGUAGGCGGUUUGUCGCGUCUGCUGUGAAAUUUCGGGGCUCAACCCCGAACUUGCAGUGGGUACGGGCAGACUAGAGUGUGGUAGGGGAGACUGGAAUUCCUGGUGUAGCGGUGAAAUGCGCAGAUAUCAGGAGGAACACCGAUGGCGAAGGCAGGUCUCUGGGCCACUACUGACGCUGAGAAGCGAAAGCAUGGGGAGCGAACAGG